CUAGGUUCCAGUCAGAUGCUAUAGCUAAGUUCACAAUUUGUGAGGGGAAAGGAAAACCCUAAGGGGUAACCCCAAGGUAAAAACUGGUACCAGAAGGAAAACUCCAUCUCUAUGGGAUAGUUGGAACCAAUCUAUUCAGGCUCUGAAGAAAUAGGGGAGAUUUGUAAGAUCUCUGAAAGCCAAGCCAGACCUACAAGUGUAGCAAGAACCUCCCUUUCUCACGCAAUGGAAUUCACCACUCAACGAACCUGCUCUAGGCGCCUGUUCCCGCUCACCCACCUCGGCUGCCCCUGCUCAACUCACUAUUGUCCUGCUGUCCAAAGCUGGGGUCGUGACCCAGAAGAAUGCAAAGGCAGCCCUCCCAGCAGACACUGGAAUGGAAGAGAGAAAAAAAGGAAGAGGAAACAAGAGAUCAAAGGAGUGAAAGAAAAAAAUAAAUGUCCCCACUUCUGUCCCUAUUUGAUUCUAAAUCUCCUCCUAUUUGGAACUGAGGUCCCUGUGCUGAAAUGAUCUUCAUUGAUCUGUCUAGAUCGAGAACCAAUGAGGAGUGAAGUUGGAGCAAGAGCAUGGGUUGGGAGAGGGCACCAAGCUGAGCAAGACGCUGGUGUACCACAAGUCUAAGAAGAUCAGAACCCAUGCCCUUUUCUGCCCCGCUUUUAAAACACACUCUUCCAAACUUCCCCUUCCCACUCUCCCCCCCCCCCCCAACUUCUCCUCCGACUGUUGGGAGAGAAGAUGAGCUAAAGAAUUUUACCUGACAG